rnacentral:rRNA from 1 species
UACGAAGGUGGCAAGCGUUGUUCGGAUUUACUGGGCGUACAGGGUGCGUAGGCGGUUGGAUAAGCCCUCCGUGAAAUCUCCAGGCUUAACCUGGAAAGUGCAGAGGGGACUGUUCAGCUAGAGGAUGGGAGAGGAGCGCGGAAUUCCCGGUGUAGCGGUGAAAUGCGUAGAUAUCGAGAGGAACACCGGUGGCGAAGGCGGCCUUCUGGACAGUGACUGACGCUGAGACACGAAAGCGUGGGGAGCAAACAGG